UUCUCCCUACGGGGGGCAGCAGUGGGGAAUAUUGCACAAUGGCGGGAACCCUGAUGCAGCAAUGCCGCGUGGGUGAAGAAGCACUCCGGUGCGUAAAGCCCUGUCAGCAGGGAAGAAAAUGACAGUACCUGGACAAGAAGCCCCGGCUAACUACGUGCCAGCAGCCGCGGGAAUACGUAGGGGGCAAGCGUUAUCCGGAUUUACUGGGUGUAAAGGGAGCGUAGGUGGCAUGGUAAGCCAGAAGUGAAAACCCAGGG
rnacentral:rRNA from 1 species